rnacentral:rRNA from 1 species
AUUGAACGCUGUCGGCAGGCCUAACACAUGCAAGUCGAACGAGUGGCGGACGGGUGAGUAAUGUCUGGGAAACUGCCUGAUGGAGGGGGCUAACUACUGUAAACGGUAGCUAAUACCGCAUACCAUCGGAUGUGCCCAGAUGGGAUUAGCUAGUAGGUGGGGUAAAGGCUCACCUAGGCGACGAUCCCUAGCUGGUCUGAGAGGAUGACACGCCACACGGGAACUGAGACAAGGUCCAGACUCAUACGGGAGGCAGAAGUGGGGAAGAUUGGACAAGGGGCGAAAGCCUGAGGCAGCCAUGCCGCGAGUAGGAAGAAGGCCUUCGGGUUGUAAAGUACUUUCAGCGGGGAGGCGUUACCCGCAGAAGAAGCACCGGCUAACUCCGUGCCAGCAGCCGCGGUAAUUC